AUGAACGCUGGCGGCGUGCCUAAUACAUGCAAGUCGAGCGAACAGAUGAGGAGCUUGCUCCUCUGACGUUAGCGGCGGACGGGUGAGUAACACGUGGAUAACCUACCUAUAAGACUGGGAUAACUUCGGGAAACCGGAGCUAAUACCGGAUAAUAUAUUGAACCGCAUGGUUCAAUAGUGAAAGACGGUUUUGCUGUCACUUAUAGAUGGAUCCGCGCCGCAUUAGCUAGUUGGUAAGGUAACGGCUUACCAAGGCAACGAUGCGUAGCCGACCUGAGAGGGUGAUCGGCCACACUGGAACUGAGACACGGUCCAGACUCCUACGGGAGGCAGCAGUAGGGAAUCUUCCGCAAUGGGUGAAAGCCUGACGGAGCAACGCCGCGUGAGUGAUGAAGGUCUUCUGAUCGUAAAACUCUGUUAUUAGGGAAGAACAAAUGUGUAAGUAACUAUGCACGUCUUGACGGUACCUAAUCAGAAAGCCACGGCUAACUACGUG
rnacentral:rRNA from 1 species